rnacentral:rRNA from 1 species
AUCACGACUCUCGGCAACGGAUAUCUCGGCUCUCGCAUCGAUGAAGAACGUAGCGAAAUGCGAUACCUGGUGUGAAUUGCAGAAUCCCGCGAACCAUCGAGUCUUUGAACGCAAGUUGCGCCCGAGGCCAUCCGGUCGAGGGCACGCCUGCCUGGGCGUCACGC